ACUUCCGGUUCUCCGUUUGCGCCAUUGCCCUGGUGGUUCCGCCUCGUGGGUUAGAUCCCAAAUUACGCCCGCUCUCGAUCCUUAAUAAUGGGAAGGGGCUUCCACUUGUCGCCCUCCGCCUCCUGCACCUCAGUGACUUCCCUGACCAAGGAGGAAGAAUUGGCGUGCAGCCUGGGCUUCCCUCAAUGGCCACCAUUCCGCUGGCACAAUGUAGUGCCCUGCCCCGGGCCUCAGUUUCCCCAUCUGUGGAACUGAGUGUGGCCUCGACGUCAAAAAUGUGGACUCUGGUCCGGUCGCGGUGGCUCACGCCUGGAUUGUGAGAAAGCAAGUGAAAUUACUCGUGGAAGUGAAUGGACUGCUUUGAGUCUUCAAGGCGUUAAUUUUCCAAACGUUUGAAUUCUAUCCCUGGUCUGAGAGCUAGGGAUGCAGCCUAGCAAGGGAAACAGCAGCCUCAGCACCCCCUGGGAGCUCGAGACAUCUAAGGAGUUGACUGAGGCCCCUCCCUGACAUACUGAAGCGGAAUCUGCAUUUUAGCAAGAUCUGCAGGUAGUGGAAUCUACCACAU
ensembl:lncRNA NSMCE1-DT NSMCE1 divergent transcript